rnacentral:misc_RNA from 1 species
UAUGAAGAACGUAGCGAAAUGCGAUAAGUAAUGUGAAUUGCAGAAUUCAGUGAAUCAUCGAAUCUUUGAACGCACAUUGCGCCCGCCAGUAUUCUGGCGGGCAUGCCUGUUCGAGCGUCAUUUCAACCAUCAAGCCCCAGGCUUGUGUUGGAGCCCUGCGGCUGCCGCAGCCUCCCAAAACCAGUGGCGGGCUCGCUAUCACACCGAGUGCAGUAGUUUACUCUUCGCUCAGGGCGUGUGGCGGGUGCUAGCCGUAAAACCCCCAACUUCUCAAGGUUGACCUCGGAUCAGGUAGGAAUACCCGCUGAACUUAAGCAUAUCAAUAAGCGGAGGA